GAUGAACGCUGGCGGCGUGCCUAAUACAUGCAAGUCGAGCGAACAGAUGAGGAGCUUGCUCCUCUGACGUUAGCGGCGGACGGGUGAGUAACACGUGGAUAACCUACCUAUAAGACUGGGAUAACUUCGGGAAACCGGAGCUAAUACCGGAUAAUAUAUUGAACCGCAUGGUUCAAUAGUGAAAGACGGUUUUGCUGUCACUUAUAGAUGGAUCCGCGCCGCAUUAGCUAGUUGGUAAGGUAACGGCUUACCAAGGCAACGAUGCGUAGCCGACCUGAGAGGGUGAUCGGCCACACUGGAGCUGAGACACGGUCCAGACUCCUACGGGAGGCAGCAGUAGGGAAUCUUCCGCAAUGGGCGAAAGCCUGACGGAGCAACGCCGCGUGAGUGAUGAAGGUCUUCGGAUCGUAAAACUCUGUUAUUAGGGAAGAACAGAUGUGUAAGUAACUAUGCACGUCUUGACGGUACCUAAUCAGAAAGCCACGGCUAACUACGUG
rnacentral:rRNA from 1 species